AGAACGAACGUUGGCGGCGUGGAUUAGGCAUGCAAGUCGAACGAAGACGUGCCCUGUAGCAAUACAGGGCACGGACUGAGUGGCGAAAGGGGCAGUAAUGCAUGGGCAACCUACCUCGGGGAUGGGUAUAGCCGGUCUAACGGCCGGGUAAUCCCCAGCGAUUUGGCGGAGAGGCAUCUCUUUACCAAGAAAUGGAUUCCGCCUCGAGAGGGGCUCAUGUCGUAUUAGCUAGUUGGUAGGGUAACGGCCUACCAAGGCAAAGAUGCGUAUCGGGUGUGAGAGCACGACCCGCGCCACUGGCACGUGAGACACUGGCCAGACACCUACGGGUGGCUGCAGGUCGAGGAUCUUCGGCAAGUGGGCGCAAGCCUGACCGAGCGACGCCGCGUGUGCGAUGAAGGCCGUUCGGUUAGUAAAGCACGUGGUCGGAA
rnacentral:rRNA from 1 species